GAGGAAAGUCCGGGCUCUAUUUAUAAAGAUAUAGUUGUAUAAAUACAAUAUAGGAAACUAUUAGGAUAGUACCACAGAAAUAAACCGCCUAUUAUUUUACAUAGGUAAGGGUGCAAUGGUUCGUUAAGAGCGUACCAGAAAUAUUUUUAAAGUAUUUGCUAGGUAAACCCCGUAUUAGUGCAAAGUAAUAAGCAAAUUGUGUAUGCUAAAAUAUUUAUAAAUUUUACUUACUUUUUACUUUUGUUAAUUAAUUUAUACUGCAUAAAGUAUAUUUUUUACUUCAGAUUAAUAAUUACCCUAUUUUAAUAUAUGUUAAAUUUUUUUUAAACAGAACUGAACCCGGCUUAU
rnacentral:RNase_P_RNA from 1 species